AGGUCAAGCUAAUAAGGGCUAACGGUGGAUACCUAGGCACACGGAAGCGAAGAAGGACGUAGUUACCGACGAAACGCUUCGGGGAGCGGGAAGCAAGCAUUGAUCCGAAGAUAUCCGAAUGGGGCAACCCUAAACACGACCACCUGAAUCCAUAGGGUGGAGCGAGCGAACCUGGUGAACUGAAACAUCUUAGUAGCCAGAGGAAAAGAAAGCAACAGCGAUUCCCCCAGUAGCGGCGAGCGAAAAGGGAACAGCCUAAACCAAGUUCUUCGGAACUUGGGGUCGUGGGACAGUAACAAAAGACUGGCAAAUUUAGACGAAGCGGCUGAAAACCGCACCGGAGAAGGUGAAAGUCCUGUAGUCGAAAAAGGCACCAGCUUAACUGCAUCCCGAGUAGCAUGGGGCACGUGAAAUCCCGUGUGAAUCUGCCUCGACCACGAGGUAAGGCUAAAUAUUCCCGUGUGACCGAUAGAGAAACAGUACCGCGAGGGAAAGGUGAAAAGAACCCCGAUAAGGGGAGUGAAAUAGAACAUGAAACCGUUAGCCUACAAGCAAUGGGAGGACGAUUGAACGUCUGACCGUGUGCCUGUUGAAGAAUGAGCCGGCGACUUACAGGUUAUGGCAGGUGAAGGGGGAAGACCCCACAGCCCCAGCGAAAGCGAGUCUGAAUAGGGCGAAACGUCAUAAUUUGUAGACCCGAACCCGGGUGAUCUAACCAUGGCCAGGAUGAAGCUUGGGUAAAACCAAGUGGAGGUCCGAACCGACUAAUGUUGAAAAAUUAGCGGAUGAGCUGUGGUUAGGGGUGAAAUGCCAAUCGAACUCGGAGCUAGCUGGUUCUCCCCGAAAUGUGUUGAGGCGCAGCGGUAGUGGAAGUUUAGUCGGGGUAAAGCACUGUUUCGCCGCGGGCUGGGAGACCGGUACCAAGGCGAGGCAAACUCUGAAUACGGCUAAAAAAACUACCAGUGAGACGGUGGGGGAUAAGCUUCAUCGUCAAGAGGGAAACAGCCCAGACCACCAGCUAAGGUCCCCAAAUGAUAACUAAGUGAGAAAGGAGGUGGGAGUGCAUUGACAACCAGGAGGUUUGCCUAGAAGCAGCAAUCCUUAAAAGAGUGCGUAAUAGCUCACUGGUCAAGCGCUCCUGCGCCGAAAAUGAACGGGGCUAAGUUAUCUACCGAAGCUGUGGACUACAUUGUAGUGGUAGGGGAGCGUUCUAUAGGGGGUGAAGCAGUAGCGGCAAGCAGCUGUGGACUCUAUAGAAGUGAGAAUGUCGGCUUAAGUAGCGAAAAUGUGGGUGAGAAUCCCACACCCCGAAACCCCAAGGUUUCCUCCGCAAGGCUCGUCCGCGGAGGGUCAGUCAGGACCUAAGGCGAGGCUGAAAAGCGUAGUCGAUGGACAACGGGUUAACAUUCCCGUACCGAUUAAUGAUUGUGCCGGAGAACGGAGAAGGUCAACGUCAGCUGGAUGUUGGUUACCAGUGCAAGCAGUCGAGGCGAUGAGCGGUGGCGAAAACACCAGGAGCUAAGACGCGAGUCCCACCUCCCACGGGAGGGAAGUGGCGUUGAUCAGGCUUCCUAGAAAAGCCCGAACCACGUUAAUCAUUAAUUGCCUGUACCCGAAACCGACACAGGUGGGGAAGUAGAGAAUACUAAGGGGCGCGAGAUAACUCUCUCUAAGGAACUCGGCAAAAUGACCCCGUAACUUCGGGAGAAGGGGUACCCUCGCCAGAGGGUCGCAGUGAAUAGGCCCAGGCGACUGUUUACCAAAAACACAGGUCUCCGCCAAGUCGUAAGACGCAGUAUGGAGGCUGACGCCUGCCCAGUGCCGGAAGGUUAAGGAAGUUGGUCAGGAGUAAUCUGAAGCUGACGACCGAAGCCCCGGUGAACGGCGGCCGUAACUAUAACGGUCCUAAGGUAGCGAAAUUCCUUGUCGGGUAAGUUCCGACCCGCACGAAAGGCGUAACGAUCUGGGCACUGUCUCGGAGAGAGACUCGGCGAAAUAGGAUUGUCUGUGAAGAUACGGACUACCUGCACCUGGACAGAAAGACCCUAUGAAGCUUUACUGUAGCCUGGAAUUGGCUUCGGGCUUCGCUUGCGCAGGAUAGGUGGGAAGCGUUGAAACUCUCCUCGUGGGGAGAGUGGAGCUAACGGUGAGAUACCACUCUGGCGAGGCUAGAAUUCUAACCCUGACCCCUGAUCGGGGCGGGAGACAGUUUCAGGUGGGCAGUUUGACUGGGGCGGUCGCCUCCUAAAAGGUAACGGAGGCGCGCAAAGGUUCCCUCGGUCCCGUUGGAAAUGGGACGAUAGAGUGCAAAAGCAGAAGGGAGCUUGACUGUGAGACCCACAAGUCGAACAGGGACGAAAGUCGGCUUUAGUGAUCCGACGGCACCGCGUGGAAGGGCCGUCGCUCAACGGAUAAAAGUUACUCUAGGGAUAACAGGCUGAUCUCCCCCAAGAGUUCACAUCGACGGGGAGGUUUGGCACCUCGAUGUCGGCUCAUCGCAACCUGGGGCUGAAGUCGGUCCCAAGGGUUGGGCUGUUCGCCCAUUAAAGCGGUACGUGAGCUGGGUUCAGAACGUCGUGAGACAGUUCGGUCCAUAUCCGGUGUAGGCGUAAGAGCAUUGCGAGGAGCCUUCCUUAGUACGAGAGGACCGGGAAGGACGCACCGCUGGUGUACCUGUUAUCGUGCCAACGGUAAACGCAGGGUAGCCAUGUGCGGAGCGGAUAACCGCUGAAAGCAUCUAAGUGGGAAGCCCACCUCCAGAUGAUUGCUCUCAUGGCAUUAAGCCAGUAAGGUCUCGGGUAGACUACCCGUUGAUAGGCUCUAGAUGGAAGCUCGGUAACGAGUGCAGUCGAGGAGUACUAACCGACCGAGGGCUUGACCUCA
rnacentral:rRNA from 1 species